rnacentral:rRNA from 1 species
AGCGUACACGGUGGAUGCCCUGGCAGUCAGAGGCGAUGAAGGACGUGCUAAUCUGCGAUAAGCGUCGGUAAGGUGAUAUGAACCGUUAUAACCGGCGAUUUCCGAAUGGGGAAACCCAGUGUGUUUCGACACACUAUCAUUAACUGAAUCCAUAGGUUAAUGAGGCGAACCGGGGGAACUGAAACAUCUAAGUACCCCGAGGAAAAGAAAUCAACCGAGAUUCCCCCAGUAGCGGCGAGCGAACGGGGAGCAGCCCAGAGUCUGAAUCAGUGUGUGUGUUAGUGGAAGCGUCUGGAAAGGCGCGCGAUACAGGGUGACAGCCCCGUACACAAAAAUGCACAUGCUGUGAGCUCGAUGAGUAGGGCGGGACACGUGGUAUCCUGUCUGAAUAUGGGGGGACCAUCCUCCAAGGCUAAAUACUCCUGACUGACCGAUAGUGAACCAGUACCGUGAGGGAAAGGCGAAAAGAACCCCGGCGAGGGGAGUGAAAAAGAACCUGAAACCGUGUACGUACAAGCAGUGGGAGCACGCUUAGGCGUGUGACUGCGUACCUUUUGUAUAAUGGGUCAGCGACUUAUAUUCUGUAGCAAGGUUAACCGAAUAGGGGAGCCGAAGGGAAACCGAGUCUUAACUGGGCGUUAAGUUGCAGGGUAUAGACCCGAAACCCGGUGAUCUAGCCAUGGGCAGGUUGAAGGUUGGGUAACACUAACUGGAGGACCGAACCGACUAAUGUUGAAAAAUUAGCGGAUGACUUGUGGCUGGGGGUGAAAGGCCAAUCAAACCGGGAGAUAGCUGGUUCUCCCCGAAAGCUAUUUAGGUAGCGCCUCGUGAAUUCAUCUCCGGGGGUAGAGCACUGUUUCGGCAAGGGGGUCAUCCCGACUUACCAACCCGAUGCAAACUGCGAAUACCGGAGAAUGUUAUCACGGGAGACACACGGCGGGUGCUAACGUCCGUCGUGAAGAGGGAAACAACCCAGACCGCCAGCUAAGGUCCCAAAGUCAUGGUUAAGUGGGAAACGAUGUGGGAAGGCCCAGACAGCCAGGAUGUUGGCUUAGAAGCAGCCAUCAUUUAAAGAAAGCGUAAUAGCUCACUGGUCGAGUCGGCCUGCGCGGAAGAUGUAACGGGGCUAAACCAUGCACCGAAGCUGCGGCAGCGACGCUUAUGCGUUGUUGGGUAGGGGAGCGUUCUGUAAGCCUGCGAAGGUGUGCUGUGAGGCAUGCUGGAGGUAUCAGAAGUGCGAAUGCUGACAUAAGUAACGAUAAAGCGGGUGAAAAGCCCGCUCGCCGGAAGACCAAGGGUUCCUGUCCAACGUUAAUCGGGGCAGGGUGAGUCGACCCCUAAGGCGAGGCCGAAAGGCGUAGUCGAUGGGAAACAGGUUAAUAUUCCUGUACUUGGUGUUACUGCGAAGGGGGGACGGAGAAGGCUAUGUUGGCCGGGCGACGGUUGUCCCGGUUUAAGCGUGUAGGCUGGUUUUCCAGGCAAAUCCGGAAAAUCAAGGCUGAGGCGUGAUGACGAGGCACUACGGUGCUGAAGCAACAAAUGCCCUGCUUCCAGGAAAAGCCUCUAAGCAUCAGGUAACAUCAAAUCGUACCCCAAACCGACACAGGUGGUCAGGUAGAGAAUACCAAGGCGCUUGAGAGAACUCGGGUGAAGGAACUAGGCAAAAUGGUGCCGUAACUUCGGGAGAAGGCACGCUGAUAUGUAGGUGAAGUCCCUCGCGGAUGGAGCUGAAAUCAGUCGAAGAUACCAGCUGGCUGCAACUGUUUAUUAAAAACACAGCACUGUGCAAACACGAAAGUGGACGUAUACGGUGUGACGCCUGCCCGGUGCCGGAAGGUUAAUUGAUGGGGUUAGCCGCAAGGCGAAGCUCUUGAUCGAAGCCCCGGUAAACGGCGGCCGUAACUAUAACGGUCCUAAGGUAGCGAAAUUCCUUGUCGGGUAAGUUCCGACCUGCACGAAUGGCGUAAUGAUGGCCAGGCUGUCUCCACCCGAGACUCAGUGAAAUUGAACUCGCUGUGAAGAUGCAGUGUACCCGCGGCAAGACGGAAAGACCCCGUGAACCUUUACUAUAGCUUGACACUGAACAUUGAGCCUUGAUGUGUAGGAUAGGUGGGAGGCUUUGAAGUGUGGACGCCAGUCUGCAUGGAGCCGACCUUGAAAUACCACCCUUUAAUGUUUGAUGUUCUAACGUUGACCCGUAAUCCGGGUUGCGGACAGUGUCUGGUGGGUAGUUUGACUGGGGCGGUCUCCUCCUAAAGAGUAACGGAGGAGCACGAAGGUUGGCUAAUCCUGGUCGGACAUCAGGAGGUUAGUGCAAUGGCAUAAGCCAGCUUGACUGCGAGCGUGACGGCGCGAGCAGGUGCGAAAGCAGGUCAUAGUGAUCCGGUGGUUCUGAAUGGAAGGGCCAUCGCUCAACGGAUAAAAGGUACUCCGGGGAUAACAGGCUGAUACCGCCCAAGAGUUCAUAUCGACGGCGGUGUUUGGCACCUCGAUGUCGGCUCAUCACAUCCUGGGGCUGAAGUAGGUCCCAAGGGUAUGGCUGUUCGCCAUUUAAAGUGGUACGCGAGCUGGGUUUAGAACGUCGUGAGACAGUUCGGUCCCUAUCUGCCGUGGGCGCUGGAGAACUGAGGGGGGCUGCUCCUAGUACGAGAGGACCGGAGUGGACGCAUCACUGGUGUUCGGGUUGUCAUGCCAAUGGCACUGCCCGGUAGCUAAAUGCGGAAGAGAUAAGUGCUGAAAGCAUCUAAGCACGAAACUUGCCCCGAGAUGAGUUCUCCCUGACUCCUUGA